rnacentral:lncRNA from 1 species
AUGGCUACAGAUGGACUUGGGAGAAGCAAAACGGAGGAGGAUCAAGGCUGUGAAACUUUGUUUGAUGCCUGUUUCUUCGCAGUUCCUAAAACCAGCCCAUCCUUUAGGAAGACAGAAAAGAAAACCAUUCUGCUAGGACUGCACAGUUCAGGAAGGUCUCUCCUGUCUUACAAAACAAAAAAGCUCAAAAUCACAAAUUUGAGCGCAACAAUGGACCAACUCCCCAGGAGCACUUAUUAGAACUCCCAUAUUAGGGGCACCUGUGGGUUGAGGUCUGCCUUUGUCUCAGGUCUUGAUCCCAGGGUCCUGGGAUAUAGUUCUGCAUCAGGCUCCCUGCAGGGAGACUGCCUCUCCCUCUGCCUAUGUCUCUGCCUCUCUCUCUCUGUCUUCCAUGAAUAAAUAAAUAAAAUCUUUAAAAAUAAAAAUAAAA